rnacentral:lncRNA from 1 species
AUGGUGCAAUCUCGGCUCACUGCAAGCUCCGCCUCCCAGGUUCACGCCAUUCUCCUGCCUCAGCCUCCCAAGUAGCUGGAACUACAGGCACCCGCCACCACGCCCGGCUAAUUUUUCUGUAUUUUUAGCAGAGACAGGGUUUCACCGUGUUAGCCAGGAUGGUCUCUAUCUCCUGCCUCAUGAUCCGCCCACCUCAGCCUCCCAAAGUGCUGGGAUUACAGGCGUGAGCCACCAUGCCUGGCCUAAAUGUAGUGAUUUUUAAAGGGAAAUUCAAAUUUGGAAUUUUCUUUGCUAUUCAUUAAGCCCCAUCUUGUUUAGAAUAAAUUAGAAACAAACUGCUAAGCACUAAGCUCAAAUUAGGAUAAAAUGUGCUCAAACCAGAGCCAGACAUAUUAUAUCUAGUUCUAGAUCAAGACCAAUUCUCUUUCCCAUCCUUCAAAUCUCUUCUCCAUUUGCUAAGCAAAGCCUCUGGCGAAAAUGAGCUUGGUAAAUUAAGUAAACACAAUUCAAUCUCAGGAACGUAUUUCCUACAUUAAUAAAUAUUUACU